rnacentral:sRNA from 1 species
UCCUCUCGCCGCCCUCUUCGAUUGAGCGUCGGGCUUUUACGCUGACCCGCGUGACGUCCCUAACAAAUAGAUUUUAGAGUGUCAGAAGUCUAAAGGGUUCGUAACGGUUUAAUAAAAAUAAUGCGUAAAAAAUGAGCACAAUCACCGUGCGCGCGGCAGCAUAUCGGACUCUCCCGAUAUGCCCACUUUGGUAGCAUACCGGACAAAAUUGUGUCCGUUAUCCACCGUUAUGUAACAUAUCGCUGCAUAUCGGAAAAUCGAAUAUGCAAGCGCGCGCACAGUGAAUAACAACCCCCUGUAUGAUGUACUACGAACGGUCUUCAUUGCGUGACACCGGAUUGACAUCUUAUCGUCGUGAUCUCCGUGCCCACUUUUCUCUCGAUCGGCAACCUUGUAUUCACAAUAACAACAUCAAUUCCCAUAUUUCUUGUAUGUUGUCGUCAUUAAAGGAUGAGACAUGCCCAAGCUAGGAAUCUGCAUAGAAGGGUUUUCCACAUUCUCUCCCUUCCCAUCGGGAUUGAAGAUGUAGUGCAUACCGAUUUCAGCCUGCUGGUGGAUUCGGUAGAAUUGAAAUCAGCUUCUCUCCAAUAUUACCUAAUAAGAGACCUUGUUUCAUGCCAAAAUCCAAUACUUG